UGGCAAAAUGUGUCCGGACCGCUUGGUCCGGACGGAUGCGAGUGGUUUAGGGAUCUAGUUGGAAAUGCCCUUUGACCUCAUAUGCACUCCCUCCAUUCCUAAAUAUAAGUUCUUUGUUUUUUUUUGACAUGGAAAAGCUCUUCCAUUAAACAGUUUGCCGAAUAAUGUCAUCGGCAACCAAGUCCUAGGCAAAGGUAGGAGCACCGCCCGGCCAUACGGCUUGGGGUUCGGUGACCAUCUUCAUCCCAAAUGCCGUUAGGGCGUCCACCACUUUAUUACAAUCUCUAGGAGCGAAAACUACCGAGAAAAAAAAGAAUCUCUAAAAAGACAUGUACUUCGUUCGUCUCAUAAUAUAAGAACGUUUUUGAUACUACACUAGUGUCAAAAACAUUCUUAUAUUAUAAGACGGAGACGUUUUUGACACUACACUAGUGUCAAAAACGUUCUUAUAUUAUGGGACGGAGGAAGUAUUUAGAAACAGAAGGAGUAGGUUAGAACAUGGAAGCUAAGAAAUUUGUUGUGUUUUAGAUUAAUUUUUUCUAUUGUUUGAGCAAUAGAAUUCAUUUUUUACUUCCACACAUGUUGCACUAAAAUUGUACAAACAUAGAAGAAGCAUAUUCUGUUUAGCGAAAAUAUAUGUACACGUGCCUGUCAUGGGCCAGAUGAUAAUAAUAAAAAAAAAUAUAAUAAUUUCCUCAAAAAAAAUAUAAUUUCUUUCACUCCAAAUUAUUAGUCUCGCUCGUAUUUCUUUUUGGUUUCACUCCAUUUUUUUUCCUUUCUCUCCGUUCUCUCCCGCCAAUAGCGACUAAUCUGCCAAAGAAAAAUUUAAGUACGCGUGCUUCAUUACCAUGGCCCCACAUCUCAUAGGCAUCCAGGACGGAGACUAACAUCGGUCAAACAGAUUGCGAUGAGGUAACUGCGCAACUAAAAUCGGAAACCUCCCCCCAUAUCAGUGCACGGUUCCCUUCCUCGUCUCGCGCUGGAUCCAUCGCACGCUCGGAGGCCGGUGGCGGAGGCAUCACCACAAGCUAAGCAAGGCAAAUCCGGCUGGUAGAUUGUUCAGAUCCGGCUGGUACGUGUUGGUAACAAUCCUACGUGUUCAUCUAAUUGUCCAGAUCCAGCUGGUACGUGGUCGUAACAAUCCUGCGUGUUCAUCUAAUGUGUCUGAGACAAGAAUUAACGUUGUUGAAUCCAAUGAGGACUAUAUGGCAGAAGAACCAAUCGAACAUCAUAAUUAUGCUGAAAAAGAUGUCGAGUCAUCUGAUGUCUAAGAAAUAACUACUAAUGAUAAAGAA